GAGAGAAUAAUUUGGGAUAUUGCCAUGACAGACAAGCAAAGCUACAGAUGAUCCUGAUUAUCUUUUCUUUAAUAAUUCAAUCAAUAUUUAUGAAGAACCUACUAUGUGCCAGACAUUAACAUACAAGGACAAAAAAAACAUCUCUAUGCAGACAGCAUCAGCAGGGCUGUUCCUUCAGUUCAAAGGUGAAGAUCGUUGAAGGCAAUGAUCUUCAAUAUAACUGAAGAGACUGAUGUAUGACCUUUGCUUUCCAACCAAGUGCAUUUAUAAUCUGCCCUGAGUCCGCAUCCAUAUUCAGAAGAGUCCAUCUGUGGCAGUCCUUGGCCCUGUCCCUGAGUUCGUGCAGUUCUGCCAAGGGGGAAAGCUUUGCAGGACAUUGCAUCUUUAGCCCUUGAAAUAUUAAGAUCUACAGAGCAUGGAAAAGGUAAGCUUGCCUCCUUGCAAUAUUCUGAGGGAAUUUUUUUUUUUGCUUAUCGUGAUUUAAGUUGUUUUAGUUAAAGGAGGUUUGAUGCUGCAGCUAUGCCAUGUCACAGAAACUGUUCUUGUUGCUACUCUUUAUGUCUGAAUAGGAGGAGGAGGAGAGAAAAAAGAAAAUCUUUUUACUACUCAUUUAAAAAAAAAGAAAGAAAACAGUGGUGCUUCACUUAAAUUAAAAAAAAAAAAAGACAAUCUAAUUGUUGGGGUGGUAACUUGCUUGGCUGGUUCCCAGAAAGAAAUAAUUAACUCAGAGAAAUGUUGAAGAUUUCACUAAGAUUUUCUCAGCUUCUGAGUGUAACUUCCCAG
rnacentral:lncRNA from 1 species